UUUUUCUGUUUUUUUUCUUUUUGUCUCGAUUGUGCAUUGCAGAAAAACUAUUUUCAUAGCCCUAUAUUAAAACUGGCAGGGAGGAAGCCAUUUGACUCCAGGCUGGGAGAUUAAAGUCCCUGGGUGGUCCUGGAAUGUCUAUGGUGUGCCUGUCCUUCAAACCAUGAUAGACAGUUGCUUUCAAUGGCCUCACUGAGAGAAGGGAUGUAGACUAACACCCAGACAUACUGUUCCAAGUUGGGCUACUACAGAUGCAGCAGGUCUACAGGGUGUAUGCAAUGGGAAAAUGUAGAUAGGACUGCCUGUAUUGGUUUUACAUUGACUCUGCCUGAAAGGCAACAAACAUGUGGAACAUGUACCUGUGGGAGGAGCC
rnacentral:lncRNA from 1 species